GGGGAAUAUUGCGCAAUGGGGGAAACCCUGACGCAGCAAUACCGCGUGAGUGAAGAAGGUUUUCGGAUCGUAAAGCUCUGUUAUUAGAGAAGAACAAGGAUGAGAGUAGAACGUUCAUCCCUUGACGGUAUCUAACCAGAAAGCCACGGCUAACUACGUGCCAGCAGCCGCGGUAAUACGUAGGUGGCAAGCGUUGUCCGGAUUUAUUGGGCGUAAAGCGAGCGCAGGCGGUUUCUUAAGUCUGAUGUGAAAGCCCCCGGCUCAACCGGGGAGGGUCAUUGGAAACUGGGAGACUUGAGUGCAGAAGAGGAGAGUGGAAUUCCAUGUGUAGCGGUGAAAUGCGUAGAUAUUAGGAGGAACACCGGUGGCGAAGGCGGCUUGCUGGACAAAUACUGACGCUGAGGUGCGAAAGCGUGGGGAGCAAACA
rnacentral:rRNA from 1 species